rnacentral:rRNA from 1 species
AACUAAACAGGAUUCCCUUAGUAAUGGCGAAUGAACAGGGAUGAGCUCAGCAUGGAAAUCGGGGUCUCCCGACCUUGAAUUGUAGUCUGUAGAUGUACUGCCAACGGAGGCGCAGAUGUAAGCCUCUUGGAAAAGAGCAUCAACGAGGGUGAGAGUCCCGUUUGUCAUCUGCAGUCCCCCGUGCACGGUGUGCCUUCUAAGAGUCACGUUCCUCGGGAUUGGAGCGCAAAGUGGGUGGUAAAUUUCAUCUAAAGCUAAAUAUUGGUUCGAGACCGAUAGCAAACAAGUACCAUGAGGGAAAGGUGAAAAGGACUUUGAAAAGAGAGUUAAAAGUGCCUGAAAUUGCUGAAAGGGAAGCGAAUGGAACCAGUGUUCUUGAUGAGAUUGUUGCGUACUCUGGUGAUUGCUGGGUGUUCCACCGCAAGGGGGGCAUCUAGUUUUGAGCUAGAUGUGCGUGGUGUUUCUUGUCUUGUGUGUCACCGUCGGUGCACGAGCGAGUAAACCUCCAGGGGGCUGGUAACUCGACCACGGUUGAGUGAAUACCUUUGGCAGUACUCAUUUGUGUAUCGAUCCCUGCGUGUCUGGUUGCAGUGUUUGGGUCGCCUGGAACCUCCUGAAGGGCUUGUCCUCGAAGGAGUCCUUUUGGGCGCCCUGAGCAUCUCCCUGACACAAAGACGAUGAC